rnacentral:rRNA from 1 species
GGUAGCAUAAUCAUUAGUCUUUUAAUUGGAGACUGGUAUGAAUGGCUAAACGAGAGAUCAACUUUUUUUACCGUAAAAAUUGAAUUUAACUUUUUAGUGAAAAGGCUAAAAUUUUUCAGAAAGACGAGAAGACCCUAUAGAGUUUUAUAAAGGACUAAUACUUUUUAUUUGGAUUUUUAUAAAAAAUAUUAAUAAAUUUAUUUUGUUGGGGCGACAUUUAGAUAAAAAAAACUCUUUAUAAGAAAAAUUUUUAUGAAAAUAUGGAUUGAUCCUUUAAAAAAGAUCAUAAGAAAAAAUUACCUUAGGGAUAACAGCGUAAUCUUUUUUGAGAGUUCUAAUCGACAAGAAGGUUUGCGACCUCGAUGUUGGACUAAAAUUAGGGCAGGAU